rnacentral:sRNA from 1 species
UUUGUCAAUGCCGACUAUAUGAAAAAUCCGCAAUUACUUUUUGGGCAACCCAAUAGUUCUCAUCGCUUCCGCUCAAAAUACGCCGAACAUACAGCGUGACACGGCCUGAAAUUCGGGAACUUUUAAAAUUGAAAUGCGAUCUACAAUUUAUGCAGCAAUGGAAUAUUUUAAUGCAAGCGUUACACAAAGGAUUUAUAGUACUAAUUACAAAAGGACGAAUAACUUUGAUGUCUAUAAAAUAUUGUGAAUGUGGUGUAACGGAAUUUCUGGGAAAAUAUGGUGCUUACUCCUUUGCGACUUUGGGAAUUUUUUCAAAGCCAUUGAAAACUAAAAGUGUGAACGUUUUUAUACCCCUCCCUCGUCAUUUCGUUUACAACACCUCUAUAUGUCUAAGACCCCAUAAAGUAUACAUAUUCUUGAUUGUCAUGACAUUUUAAGUCGA